ACCUGGGUAUCGCCCAGAGCACCGCCUGCACCAUGGCCUCGAGGAGAGUGGCACCCACGAGGACCGGCUUCUAAAAACCCUGCAUACAGUUUAGUUCUGCCCCGCAGCUGCCUUGCUCACUUGCUCUUUUCUUGGGCGGUCGAGCUUCCUCCUUCCCGCUCCUGCAGGCGUCUCUUCGCCCGAUUUCGCUGGCAGAUUGGACGUGAGGACUCAAACCUGCCGGCCCCAGGAUUUCCUCACUCACUCCCACGGGACAUCCCCACAGCGGAACCCAAGGCCAACCCAGGGCUUCCGCUUCCGCCCCCGCUGUUUCAGGCUGCUGAUUCGUCAACAGUGCCAAAUGUACCCGCCCCAUCCGCCUCACUUUGCACUCUCUGAUUGGUUAUUUGUAGGGGGCGGGGCUGUAGAGAGGCGUAGCAAGGUUAGGAGGUUGGAAAGAGAAGACGUGGGUCGGAAUUGUUGGAAUCGGUUGCCUCAGUGGCCUGUGAACGGGAUUCUGGAAGCUGUAAGAAUUGAUUGAGAACACUUAGGGAACACCUCCUACGUUCUCCUGAUUGACUGUAUUCCAGCAUUAAUAAAGCCUGGGAGCAAGCUAAAGUUGUAGAACUAUCAGAAUGAAGCAAGAGAUGGAAAAGACCAGAAUGUCCGAUAAAGAAGUAGUUUUGCAUGCCAGUUUGUGAACUGGGGUUCAUCUAUGGUAAAGUUGCUACAGAUUGGCAGAGACAUAAGAAAAAAAAUAUAUAGUGGGUUUUUCAUUUAGUCAAACUUAAGGAUUGUGCAUUAUAUUGAAAUUGUUCAUUCUAUUUCUUUUAUCCAAUGACAGUUAUAGAAUAGUUAUUUUCUAACUAUUUUUCUUUGGCGAAUAAAAUGUUGCUAACUUUA